GUUUUCAAAGAUUUUUUGAAGGAGUGGAGACUGGAUGAAAGUCUAACGGAGAAGGGAAGGGAUUCCACAGGAAAGGUGCAGCGCUGGAGAAGUCUUGGAGGCGAGCAUCAGAUGUGGGAGUACGGACAGAGGAUAGACGUAGGUCUUCGGCAGAGCGCAGGGGCCUCGACGGAACAUAUUUGUGUAUUAGGGAGGAUAGAUAGGUUGGAGCAGCAUUAUGUAGGUACUUGUAAGCAAGCACCAGAAUCUUAAAUUGAGCCCUAUAUCUAACAGGAAGCCCAUGUAGAGACUGACAGAGGGGGUAGGUGCAGGUGGACAGGAAAAUGAGCCUAGUCGCCGCAUUUGUUAUAGAUUGCAGCGGUGCAAUCUGGGAACACAUAAGACCACUGAGAAGGGGAUUGCAGUAGUCAAGGCGACAAAGAACAACGGCAUCGACUAGCACCUUAGCUGCGUCUGGUGUUAAAUAAGGGCAGAUGCGAGCUAUGUUUUUGAUAUGGAAGCGGCAGGUUUUGUCGAUCGACUGGAUAUGAGGGGUGAAGGAGAGGUCGGAGUCAAAGAGAACACCUAGGCAGUGAGCCUGCAAGGUAGAGGUGAUGGUGGCGCCAGUGACUCAGAAGGAGACAGACACGGGAGUAGCAACACUUGAGGGAGGAAAGACCAGAAGUUCUGUUUUGGACAGGUUGAGUUUAAGGAAGUGAGAAGCCAUCCAGUUGGAAAUUGCAGAGGGGCAGUCAGAGACACGAGUCAGGAUGGGCGGAGAGAGAUCAGUAGAGGACAGGUAGAUUUGUUUGUCAUCUGCAUAUAAAUUAUAAUGGAAGCCAAAGGAACUGAUGAGUUUACCAAGGGAAGCAGUUUAGAUGGAGAACAGUAGGGGACCAAGGACAGAACUUGGGGAACGCCAACAGAGAAGGGUUGGGGGUCAUGACUAUAUACACCUAGACAUCACCAAGUGGUAGGUGCAAAGUGAUAAGUGCCCAAAGGAUCAAAAAACCAACGUGCGUUUUGGUGCAUUCAUGUGUGCAGCUUCGUCAGGGGGAAAAGUAACACUGAAUAUAAUCUUCCUUAUAAAGGUGUAGCCCAUGUGGGGAGUUUCAUUACUAGCCAAUCGCACAUACCCACGUAAUGAGGGGGUGUGCACUUUAUUUCAGUGAUGUAAUUACUCAUAUAUGCUUCCUCCCCUCUCAGUCCUGUCAAUCAAUCCUAGGUAGGAAGAGCACUAGGAGAGAGCAGUAUCCCGUAGAUCGAGAUUAUGAAGAAUGGGAAGAAGCUGUUGAUGAUCAACAGUGUCAAAGGCAGCAGAAAGAUCAAGGAGAAUUAGGAUAGAGUAAUGACCGUAAGAUUUAGCAGCAAUUAAAUUGUUGGAUACUUUGGUCACAGUUGUUUCAACAGAAUGACGAGCGUGGAAUACAGACAGAAGCGGGUCAAGCAGAGAGUUGGAUUCGAGGAAUUCUGUCAAUCUCGCAUACACAACUCUCUCAAUGAUCUUGGAGGCAAAUGGGCGGUACUUGAAUGGGGAAUUAGGGUCAAGGUUGGACUUUUUCAGAAUAGGUGUUAUGGUUGCGUGCUUGAAGGGUGAAGGAAAUGUGCCGGAGGAAAGGGAGAGAUUGAAAUUUUUAGUGAGAGUAAGAGCAAGAGCGGGAGACAGAGUGCAGAUGAGAUAUGAGGGAAUAGGAUCAAAGGAACAGGUGGUGGGGUGGAAGGGCGGGAGCAGAGCAGAAACUUCUUCCAUUGUAGUAGUUGCAAAUAAGCAUAGAACAGCAGAGGGAGUGGGGUUGAUUGAUGUAUUGGAAGGGGAGGGAGAGCGGUUAGAGAUCUCUUCCCUGAUUGUCGAAAUCUUCUCAGUGACGUGAGUUGCAAAGUUUGAGAGGUGCCAUGACGUCUAGUUGAGGGGAGAGAGUGGAGUUGCAGAGUUAGGGCAAAUGAGAUUUGAGAUGGGUAAAAGUAGAGUUUGAAGUUUGGUGGAGAAAUGCUGGAGAUCAAGGCAGUGGAGGUUUCUGAGAGAUUUGGAGAGUUGAGGGUGGUGAAAUUUGGAUAUGCUGGCUAUGGCGUAUACCCGAACCACAAAACUAACACGGGUGUUCCUUUAAGUAGCUUUUCCUAGUUUUUUUUUAUCUCCUAUAUCUCAUUAUGAAAGCCAUUAUCUACUUUGCCAAGUAUAUACUUGAUUGAUUGGGUAGGCUGGUAAGAAUAAGAGGGAUGCCGUAAGAGUUGCAGAGUACUAUAUGUGCUCAAGAAUAAAUUAGGCAUGUAUCUGAGAGUGGGAUAGACAGUUGAGAGAGGGGAAAAGACAGGUGAGUGGUGGGAGAGAGAGAAAAAAAAAAAAGGGGGUGGGAUGAGCGGGUGUUAGGCCAGUAUAGACGGGCAUCUGCGUUGAAGUCUGAUUCAUAGGUACUGUUAAGUAUUGUCUGUCAAUUAAGGUGUUUUACCAAAGUUUGACACAAAGUCGUACCACGGGGCCCAUGUCAGGUCACACUUAUCUGCUAUGCCUCUUAGAUCUCCAUAGUACUGAUCUCCUCCACCCUAGCCACCCAUUGCUGGAAGGUCGGCACACCCCUGUAGGAGCAAGGGCAUUAGAUGAAACAGGAGAUAUGAGUUUGUGAUGCUACAGAUUUUGGAAUUGAUCAUUUUUCAGAAAUGGGUGAGAGGUGGACAUGACCACCAAAUGUGCAGCCUCGUCCUUGUGUCUGCCCCACAUCUCCAGCACUACUCUGUGAUCCUGCUAUCAAUGUGGUGGAUAACGUCUGGGGUUCUGUACCAGUGUGUCAAUAUUUUAGAGCUUAUGGAACCCUUAUGUGUCAAUGCGAACAUCUUGUCCCACUCCUGUUAAGUUAGUGUCUCCCCGUGUCCAUCUUCCAUCUGGCAAUAAACCUUUAAGGCAUGUUGUUAUCUCCCAGGAGCAGCAUUGAGUAUAUCAUGGACACUCCCUUGUGUACAUACUUCCUAUUUAAGCAGAGUAUUUCAUAUUGUGUGAGUCCUAUAUGUUUGAGCGAUUUGGACUUAAUGGAGGUCUGUAUUUAAAAGUAUCGGAAUCAGUCAAGGCCAGACUGACCGAUCUUCCGGGAAGAUCUGUCAGUGGCUUCAAAUUCUGGGUUGUGCACCACUCUCAUACAAUGGGACAGUCGUGGGUGUGAAAGCUUUUUAGGUCUCAUGGCUGCUGGCCAGGUCUGUGUUGAAUAAUAUGGGAGUCAGUAAGUUCGGGUUCAUGGUUAGUUGGGAGGGGUAGCGUAGUGUACACCAUACUGCCAGAGUGGAAUUUGUCAGUGGGUUGUCUGUUUUCAGUUGUGGAGGUUGGCUGCUUUUACCUAACGUUUACCAUUCAGAUUUCAGUUUGUUUCAGAGUUUAGUGAAUAGGUAUAGUUAUUUGCAGGGUUACGCAUGACAGGCCUCUUUACGAGUUGGCUCCUCAACGACUUGUUUUAGAGACAAUCCCAGUAAGGAG